GGAAGCUUAACUAUGCAUAUAUGUAUGACAUGUAACUGUUUUCUUUAUGGUAAUGCGUUGAGCAUCUGUUUUAAAUGUAUAUCAGCAGUUUUAUAACUCAUGCAUCACAUAUGAAUUAUUAUAUUAUACAUUAAUUCGGACACGACUUCGGGUGGGUUAUGGUUCCUGAUCAUUAGGAUAAUCAGAUACCAUUGUGGCGGUUUUGUAUCCCCACCUUGGACCAAAGUUCGAUUCAUAUGGUUGAUUUUAUGAAUAUCAACUUGUAUUGCAAGUUUGUUUCAAUUGUCGUUUAAUAAAUAAACGGCCAAUUUCAAUUCA